rnacentral:sRNA from 1 species
AGGCCACUAGGGCAAAAGAGCUCAAUCACCACCAGUGACUGUGGUGGUAAAGAGGGCCGCCCCCCCCCCCUGCACAAAAUGUAGAUCCCCGCAGCGAGUUGGCGGGCGCCCGGCGUUCCCCUCCCGGCAGCGAUGAGAAGUGAAAAGAAAAAUGGGGCUUUUAUAUUCUAAUAUUCUGGCGGGCGAGUAUAAGCGGUGGAUGAAACAACAACACAUGGAUAAAAUGGUAUCGAAGAUAUCGAGAUCGUGACAGGGUUGCCAAACUAGGGAAUGGAAAAAUACAUUUUUCUAAGGGGCUCUUUGAGAACCAAUAAGCCCCCUCAAACUUACGAUUCGAGGGACUUCAGUGGUAUGCGUAUUAUAUUAGGGUUACUUAUGGUUAUAUAGCAGGACAAUCUCGAGGGGUGGAAAGUUAGUAUGGUAUUCUGCUAAUACAUUCCACUGCAAGUGUCAAACCCAGAGACAUCGUCAGUGAUCUGCCACAGCUUCUCUGAGACUCAAAGGGUCCCUAAAAUACCUCUAUGACUUAGGAAUCAUAUUGCGAAGAGGGAUUUCACUGUACUGUACAUAUAUUUUUGGACGUGGUUAUCUCAAUAUCAAUAUAUAAUAAUCGACAGGCG